GCUCGCCUCGCCGCCUUGCCUUCCUGGGCGGCUCCACCGCUCCAGGGGCCGCAAAGAGCCUGCCCGCUUCUCUGGGGCUUGCGCGCUUACAGGGACGCUCCCGGGGAAAGUGCCAGCGCAAAGCUUAGAGCAAGUCGGUCUGUUAGAGAACCGCAGAAUUGACUGUGUUGGAAAAGACAUUUGAGGCUAUCGAGUCCGAACUAUGACUGAACACCACCAAGUCAGCUAGAGCAUGGCGCUGAGUGUCAGAUGUUUUCUUGAACACUUCCGGGGGCGGUGACUCCAUCACCUUCCUCGGCCGCCGAUUCCACUAAUAACCCUUUUUUGUUAAGAAAUCCCUCUACACUUCCUCCUUUUGUAACCUCAGAAUGGGCAGGACCUUUCAGGUCCUUAGAAAUGGUGGAUCUCUCAGAGCAAGCUUCAAGGGAAACACCUUUUGUUUUACUGAACAUGAGUAGAAGAAACAGAGGAGUUAUUUGCCUUCUUCCUUAAACCUUUGGUGGGGUUAAUAAAAUACUUUUUGAAUGCUUAUGAGAAAAACGUGCAGCUGAAUGCAGUUUCUCAUUGUUACCUGCUUGCUAGUUCACUAUGAAGCAAAAAAGAUUGAUGACUUUACAUUGUUUUCAAAUGUGGUCUCUAAGACUCAGGCAGAGUAUUUGUUGAAGAGAAAGUACAGGAUAACUCUUGGAAGUAUCAAGUCAACCCUCUCCUCAUCUGUUGUUCUUUCAGGUUACAACUCUCUAAGAGGUCACGAAGUGCCUUGGAGUGUGUUAAAGUGUUGCCAAAGCAUGCACCUCCCACAGCCACUGGCUCAGGCCAGUCCCAAGUUACGGACUAAGGGUGCACAUGGGUAGUGUGAGAGCAUUAAUCUUCAUAGCGCUGUGGCUGUGGAAAGCUAUACCUUGGCAUCAUUUUUCAAAGCCAGUAGCUAAGAACUUCUGUUUUAAUAGAUGGAAGUAAGGACAAGGACCUUUUUCAGAAUACUUAUGUAGCAAUUGUGAUCAAUAAAUCAGUAUUUUGGCUUUAUUAAACUGCUCUGGCACAGUGUUUCCAAUACAUGCUUAUCUUGCAUGGGUGCAUCUCAAAGCACCUGUGAAUUUGCUGCAAUGUUCUACCUGGGAGGAAGACUCUUUUAAUUACUGAAGUUUAAGAAAGCUUUUCUGCACUUUCUUCCUGGCUUUCAUAUUUUGGGCAAUGUCUUUAGGUUAGUGUUAGUAACAAAAACCCUGGUCCCAUGACAACAACCUCUAAGAGAAAAGGAUAACCUGUUCCCUUACCUAUGUUUUAGGGUGUUUUAGGUUGCUGAUGCAAUAUCUAGGCAGCAUAAACUUCUGAACAAUUUUUUUUUUUUUUUUUUUUUUUUUUUUUUUUUUUUCUGUGUGACAGUGUAUUUUUUCUGUUUCACAGUGGUCAGGAACCAUUCCUGAUUUGAGAAGCUGACAUCUGUUUGAGUUAAAAAUUUGUCUUCCGUGACACUUCUGGGUCCCUGUUUCAGUGUGCUACCACUCAUGGUGAAAAAUUUUUCAAAAAUAUACACUGAAUUUCCUGUAUUACAAUAAAUGUGCUUGUCUUGUCUGAUCACUGUGUUCUUCCAAGGAGGCUCCAUCUAUUAAAGAUGGGUAAUAUGAUGAUCGGUUCUUACAAUUAAGAGAUUAAUAUUUUGUGUAUGUUAAGAGAAGUUUCACUGUCUGUUGUUUGGACAUCCGCUGUUCUCUCCAUAGUCCCCUUCCCCCUCUGAAUUGUAAUGGGACAGCCUUGGUUCUCAGGGUAGGUUUGUUACUAGGAGGCCGAGGCAUGACAACACCUGACCUCAAAUCAAGUAGCAAGGAAGUAGUCUCCACCAAUGGACGGCGAAGAAGAAGUUUACUGACAGACUUUGGGAGUGGCCAGGGUUGCCUGAUGCUCCGGUGGGGUAUAAAAGGUGGAGCAGCAAUUUUGUAGAUGAGCAUGUGGUCAGUCAUAUGCUUACAGAUCUCUGCCCUUUUUCUUUAUUCAGUCCUUUGUUGUGUUUGUGAAGGUUUAAUAAACCUUGAAAAUUUUAGAAGUCA